GAUGAACGCUGGCGGCGUGCCUAAUACAUGCAAGUCGAGCGAACAGACGAGGAGCUUGCUCCUCUGACGUUAGCGGCGGACGGGUGAGUAACACGUGGAUAACCUACCUAUAAGACUGGGAUCACUUCGGGAAACCGGAGCUAAUACCCGAUAAUAUAUUGAACCGCAUGGUUCAAUAGUGAAAGCCGGUUUUGCUGUCACUUAUAGAUGGAUCCGCGCCGCAUUAGCUAGUUGGUAAGGUAACGGCUUACCAAGGCGACGAUGCGUAGCCGACCUGAGAGGGUGAGCGGCCACACUGGAACUGAGACACGGUCCAGACUCCUACGGGAGGCAGCAGUAGGGAAUCUUCCGCAAUGGGCGGAAGCCUGACGGAGCAACGCCGCGUGAGUGAGGAAGGUCUUCGGAUCGUAAAACUCUGUUAUUAGGGAAGAACAAAUGUGUAAGUAACUAUGCACGUCUUGACGGUACCUAAUCAGAAAGCCACGGCUAACUACGUG
rnacentral:rRNA from 1 species